CGGCACGGGUGCGUAACACGUAGGUGAUCUGGCCUGUAGUGGGGGAUAACCCUCGGAAACGAGGGCUAAUACCGCAUGAGCUCGGGGAGUUUAGAAAUCCUUGAGGAAAGCUUCAUGUGCUAGAGGGGGAGCCUGCGGCCUAUCAGGUAGUUGGUGGGGUAAAAGCCUACCAAGCCGAUGACGGGUAGCUGACCUGAGAGGGUAGUCAGCCACAGGGGAACUGAGACACGGUCCCC
rnacentral:rRNA from 1 species